UGGUUCUGGCAUCGAUGAAGAACGCAGCGAAAUGCGAUAAGUAGUGUGAAUUGCAGAAUUCAGUGAAUCAUCGAAUCUUUGAACGCACAUUGCGCCCUUUGGUAUUCCUUGGGGCAUGCCUGUUUGAGCGUCAUAUGAAAACCCCUCAAGCGCUGCUUGGUGUUGGGCGUUCGUCCCGCCCCCCUGGCGUGGACCCGCCCCAAAAGCAUUGGUGGCCCGUGUAUCGGCUUUGAGCGCAGCAGACUUUGCGCCCCAUGCCCGGCACGCUGGCGUCCAGCAAAGCCCCGUCGACCCCGAUUUUGACCUCGGAUCAGGUAGGGAUACCCGCUGA
rnacentral:misc_RNA from 1 species